CGAAUGCUGACAUAAGUAACGAUAAAGCGGGUGAAAAGCCCGCUCGCCGGAAGACCAAGGGUUCCUGUCCAACGUUAAUCGGGGCAGGGUGAGUCGACCCCUAAGGCGAGGCCGAAAGGCGUAGUCGAUGGGAAACAGGUUAAUAUUCCUGUACUUGGUGUUACUGCGAAGGGGGGACGGAGAAGGCUAUGUUGGCCGGGCGACGGUUGUCCCGGUUUAAGCGUGUAGGCUGGUUUUCCAGGCAAAUCCGGAAAAUCAAGGCUGAGGCGUGAUGACGAGGCACUACGGUGCUGAAGUAACAAAUGCCCUGCUUCCAGGAAAAGCCUCUAAGCAUCAGGUAACAUCAAAUCGUACCCCAAACCGACACAGGUGGUCAGGUAGAGAAUACCAAGGCGCUUGAGAGAACUCGGGUGAAGGAACUAGGCAAAAUGGUGCCGUAACUUCGGGAGAAGGCACGCUGAUAUGUAGGUGAAGCGACUUGCUC
rnacentral:rRNA from 1 species